rnacentral:sRNA from 1 species
UGACCCUUUUAAGCCGAGGGUCACCUAGCCAACUGACGUUGUUAGUGAAUUUAUUUAUUCACAUUUUUCAGCCAGUCACUGUUUUGUGACUGGCUUUUUUUUU